rnacentral:pre_miRNA from 1 species
AUAUAGGUCAAUCUGUCUUUAAGUAAGGAUAAAGUACUCUAAAAGAAAUGAAUCCUAGUUAGUUUUCCCUUCAAGUCAAGCGUCUUGU